CUCACCCCUCCGCCCUCCGUCCUCUCCCCUUCGGAACCCACUGGCUAGGCGCUUCCUCUGAGCGCAGCCCGCCUGGCCGAGGGACGCGCGCCCCGGCGAUGGGCAAUUGGACGGGAGGUUAGACCGAGAGCGCGACUUCUGGGUGGGACCUUCCUCCCCCCAGACCGCGGCCCCUGAGCCUCCGGCCCGGGAUGGUGCGGGCACGCUCCGCGCAGCAGGUCGGCGCCGCGGCCGCGGGUGACGUCGCGCACCCGGGCUGGCGACCCCGGAGCCUGGCAGAGAUCAUAGCAGCUUCUGGUCUUCUGCCCCCUCUCAAGCAGAAAAAGUCCCAGCUCAAAAAGAGUGAAAGGAAGCUGUGACCAGGAGCCCAACCAACAUCGUAUAGGAUCCUCAAAGCUCCAAAGCAUAUGGAGACUUUUUUGUGAAGCACAUCAGAGUUCAUGAUUGCUGUAUAUUCUUGGUCUUGCUGUACUUUUAAUUCUAAAGAACAUCCAAAUAGAGAACAUUCAAAUCUUCCCUCCUUGCUUUUGUUUUAUUCUAUGCUAAGCCUUAAGCAGCCUCCGAAGAUACCACUGUGAUAAAACACAAUCCCUGCCCUCAAGGAACAAUUAGGGGAAGCCCAUCUCCUUGAACUUGGCCUUGUUCCAUAUAGACCUCUUUCCUCUUGCCUGCGUCCCUCCCACCAUCAUGGCUGGCUGGUGCUAACCACUACUUCUGGGUUCCCAGCGGCACUUCCAUAUAGUCCCAACUCCAGCUAACACUGGACUGGACACUACAGAAAACAAAGAAAAGAGAGUCACCAGCUGUAAGGAGUCUGCAGCCCACUGCAGAAAUUUGCAAGGAACAUAACCAAAACAGGCCCUACCUUGGAAAGCUUGCAGUCCACAGGCAACGUGUCGUAGACAGAAUAGCCCCUCUCUUUAAGAGUGCAGCCCUUCUCAUGCAUGUGAUUGUGACAUGUAAUGGACAGUAGGGGCCAAAAGCACAAGCAGUCUAAAAAAAGGCGCCCCAGAGCAGCAUUCCCAUAAGCAGUCCUGGGGAAGGCCAGUGGGUGAGGACUAAGUCCACCAUCCUGCCUAGGUUACCGUGACCAUCACUAGGAGGAGCGGCAUCUUUACACAUGGACUUGGGUAUUGUGCUGUGUGUUCAGUGAACCAAAACUCUCUUGCUGAUAAGAAGUGGCCAAGUGGUCCCUGGGUCCGAGGCAGAGGGUCCAGCUCAAGUGCCAGAGCACACGAUGACAUUAGGCCAACACCA
rnacentral:lncRNA from 1 species